GGGCGAUUGGCUCAGCUGGUUAGAGCGCUGCGUUCACAUCGCAGAGGUCGCUGGUUCGAAUCCAGCAUCGCCCA
rnacentral:tRNA from 2 species